AAGAGAACAGCAGCCGGCUGGCUGAAAUGGAGUGCCACUCUAGAGAACCUGCUACAGGAUUGAAAAACAUAAAACUGGACCGAGGAAAAGCUGAACACGUUCCUGAGAUGCCACCUGAUUAACAACAUGGAGCAGAGCAUAUUAGAUAAAAAAAAUGUUAAUGAUUUUUUUCGGACAUUGUCGAGGUGGAUCUGGACGUUGGGCAUCGUUGGGCCCCCGCCAAAGCGAACCAAAAAGACGACACUUCUUUGUUGGCAGAGAUCGCCAGAAAGCGACUCGAAGAGCAGAAAGACCAUCACAGGAUGAAGGAAGAACAUGAUAUGAGGCAGGAAAAGAUGAUCGACUGAUUAAAGUCACCAGAACUGUUGCUGCUAUUGGGCU
rnacentral:sRNA from 1 species